rnacentral:rRNA from 1 species
UAGUAUGGGGAUCUGCCCGAUAGAGGGGGAUAACUACUGGAAACGGUGGCUAAUACCGCAUAAUGUCUACGGACCAAAGCAGGGGCUCUUCGGACCUUGCACUAUCGGAUGAACCCAUAUGGGAUUAGCUAGUAGGUGGGUAAAGGCUCACCUAGGCGACGAUCUCUAGCUGGUCUGAGAGGAUGAUCAGCCACACUGGGACUGAGACACGGCCCAG